rnacentral:tRNA from 1 species
GAGGGUAUAGCUCAGUGGAAGAGCACGUGCCUAGCACGUCCUGGGUUCAAUCCCUAGUACCUCCA